AGUAAAAUUUCCUGAAGCACACACAACGAUAAUGCUGCAUUUAAAUGUUUGCCUUCCUAUUCUUGUAACCAUUUUUCUGCUCGACAGUUCUGUUUACGGCGACACUAAACAUGCUAUUUUAAGGAACAAAAGCCAUCCCGAUAAGUGCUACUUGGAAACGGACAAGGGUCCUUUGAUCAUCGACAGCGAUCAACUUGUGCGUUAUCCUGGAAAAUGUGCCAACAUCUAUUGUGGUCGUGAAAGUUGGGCUUUGAUCUUUACGUAUGAUCUACAGUAAAACUUCGUUAUAGAAAAUACGAAAUUGCAAUCCUCCCACAAUUCCCGAUGACUGUGCGCUCGCGGAUUACAUAAAUAUUAAUGCCGCAUUUCCAGAGUGCUGUGAACGCGACUGGAAAUGCAAUAAUAAAAUAAAAAAAUAAAAUUGCUUUUUCCAUUGAUUUCAAAUUACAUGUAUUUUUAAAUA